GAAAUGCGAUAAGUAAUGUGAAUUGCAGAAUUCGUGAGUCAUCGAAUCCUUGAACGCACAUGGCGCCUGGGGGCCAUCUCCCAGGCACGCCUGUUUGAGUGUCGUUUUUCUUAAUCACUAUGCUUCAUGCAUCGUGGAUGUUGAGUAUUGACCUUUUAAUAGAGCGGUCAUUACUUGAAAUGCAUGGCUGGAUGUACCAUACUAAAUAAACCAUUGUAGGAUGCUAUGAGUUGCAUACUUCCUACAACGGGCAAUUGAUAACUGGUGACCAGCGCAAGGAAGCCUUACCCAAGCGACCUCAAAUCAGGCGAGACCACCCGCUGAACUUAA
rnacentral:misc_RNA from 1 species